CGCCAAAACUCUGUUUGCCUAAAAUGUCAUCGGUAAUGCCACCCUGUGACCAAUAUUGCUCUAAAUGUUUCCCCCAAGCCGGGACCGGCAAGCUCCCAUAAAGCCACAGAGUAUUCCGUGGAAUCCGGUACUGCCUGGGGUUUUUGUCCAUUUUGAAUCACCGACUGGGAUAUAUUCAGUCUGCAUACUCGGCGUCCAAUGGCGAUGACGUUAGUCAGCUGAAGGAAUUACAGGCGGCGG